AAAUCAAAAUUUCCCCUUGUGGGAUUAAUAAGGGAUAGUAACAUAAAAUAAUCAGACAUUUUAAUAUUUUCAGAUAUUUUAUUUUUAAUAUUUUCAGAUAUUUUGUUAUAUUUUUUAGACAUUUUAAUAUUUUCAGAUAUUUUGUUUUUAAUAUUUUCAUAUAUUUUAUUAAUAUCAUUCUUUCAGUGAUCUGUAAAGUGUUGAUGAUCUAUUAAAAUGUGUAGCAGACAGGAAUUUAAAACAUCUGACAACAAACAUUUUACUGCACUAGAAGUUUUACUGAAAUACAGACAUGAAUGCAGGAUUUUUACCUGGAGUGGAGUACUCUGACUAAAUAUUAGUAGUACGCUAAAUGAAUAUUAGUAGUACUCUGACAGACUAUUGGUAGUACUUUAAGGUGUUACCUCCUCUGGUUCUGCACCUGAGCUUCACCUGCUCAAACUGACCAACAGCUGUGAAGCCACAGGUCACAUGAUCUCUCCAGUGUCCAGUCAGAGACCAGGAUGGAGUGUUUGAUGAACCGAAGGACGUUUCUGCACCAGAUAAAGAAUCUUUUUUCUGUUUUAAAUCAGAACUAAGCUAUUCUCUGGCAGCAAGGUGUCUGAAAAACACAUUAAAAACAGAGAAAUACUGCAUUCAAAAACUGCAAAAACUGUGUAAAUAACUGCAAAUAUCUGAACAAUAAUUAUAUUUGUGCUGAUUUAAACAGUAAAACACAUUUUACAGUCACACUGAAAAGAAUCAGUGACUAUUUAUAAAAAAUACAGAUUUCUGAUGACAUUAUUUACAGUCAUCAUAUAAAUUAAUGCUUUCUUCUGUGAUUUUAUCAGAUGUUAUCUGUAAUUUAAUGGGAACUAUGCAACAUAACGGCAAAUUCUUUAGUAAAUUACAGUUAAAAAUAUUCCCUAAAGAUGUCUCUUCAAAGCUGAAGGAUGAAAAUGGUCUUUUUCACAGAAUGUUUCAGUUCAGCAGCUCCACAAAAAUCCACUUUCACUUUCAGAAAUUCACAAAAGUUCAUGAAGAGAACCAGCAGCUUCCUGAUUUAAAGACGAAACAUCGAGACGAACAGAGAAGGAGACGAUCUCAGACUGACUCAUCUACAAACCUCAGAACUUUCAACCAGCCCUCAGAACCUGUUCCAGAGUCUAUAGCUUUAAUUGCUGCUGGCUCUGCCCCCUUCAGGAAGAAGACUCUCUCUCUGUCUGCGAUGAAAACAGGAACUUCCAUCUUAAAACUUCCUCUGGUAAAAUUCCAACAUGUCGGAUAUCAGGGCCCUGGUGAGUCUGUAGCAGUUCAGACCGGUUUAAAUCCGUUUAAACUGGUUUAAUCUGUCUUUAAACUGGCUUUAAACUGAUUUAAACCAGUUUAAACUGGUUUCAAACUGGGCUCACACUAGUUUGGGAUUGGCUUGGUUUAAGAUUGGUUUUGGACUGGUUUUGGACUGGUUUUAGACUGGUUUUGGAUUGGUUUCAGACUGGUCUCUGACUGGUUUUGGAUUGGUUUCAGACUGGUUUCAGACUGGUUUUAGACUGGUUUUGGCCUGGUUUCGGACUGGUUUUGGACUGGUUACAGACUGGUUUCGGACUGGUUUUGGAUUGGUUUCAGGCUCAUUUUGGACAUGUUUCAGACUGGUUUCGGACUGGUUUUGGACUGGUUUCAGAUUGGUUUUGGACUGGUUUCAGACUGGUUUCGGACUGGUUUUGGAUUGGUUUCAGGCUGGUUUUGGACAUGUUUCAGACUGGUUUCGGACUGGUUUUGGCCUGGUUUCGGACUGGUUUUAGACUGGUUUUGGCCUGGUUUCAGACUAGUUUUGGACUGGUUACAGACUGGUUUCGGACUGGUUUUGGAUUGGUUUCAGGCUGGUUUUGGACAUGUUUCAGACUGGUUUCAGACUGGAUCUGUAAACGUCUCCCAUCACCACAUAAUCUGGACUGACACUGUCCAGCCUGAAGUUCUGCUCCGACUGUUGGCAUCAAACAGGAACCAGUUUCUUUAAGUCCUGGAGAAGCAGCUGUGGUGAAUUUAAAACGGUUUUCUUUAUUAAUUUUAGCGAUCAGAGAUAAUUCUACAUGUGCAGAGAGAAUCAGGAGGAGAAACAUCUGGACAUCUGCAGCAGAGAGGUCUUCAUCCAGACAGGUGAGUCAGACUCUCAGCAGUUCUUCUCCUUCAGUUUCCCUGCAGGUAGUGAACAGAGAAGGCCUCCAGCUGCGUCUCCAGCUCCGUCGCUUGGUUCCUGAAACAAAAGUUGAUCCAGAGUUUAAAGAGCUGCAGAGAACAUCGACGUUCAGCUGAUCCUGAUUCUACUCAACGCCUUGUUAUCAGAGUUUCAUCUAUUUUCCCUCAAAACAAAUAAAUCUGACACUUUA
ensembl:lncRNA